rnacentral:rRNA from 1 species
UACGAAGGUGGCAAGUGUUAGCCGGCAUUAUUGGGCGUAAAGCGCGCACAGGUGGUUCCUUAAGUCUGAUGUGAAAGCCUACGGCUCAACCGUGGAGGGUCAUUGGAAACUGGGGAACUUGAGUGCAGAAGAGGAAAGUGGAAUUCCAAGUGUAGCGGUGAAAUGCGUAGAGAUUUGGAGGAACACCAGUGGCGAAGGCGACUUUCUGGUCUGUAACUGACACUGAGGCGCGAAAGCGUGGGGAGCAAACAGG